rnacentral:rRNA from 1 species
GGUUAAGCGACUAAGCGUACACGGUGGAUGCCCUGGCAGUCAGAGGCGAUGAAGGACGUGCUAAUCUGCGAAAAGCGUCGGUAAGGUGAUAUGAACCGUUAUAACCGGCGAUGUCCGAAUGGGGAAACCCAGUGCAAUUCGUUGCACUAUCGUUAACUGAAUACAUAGGUUAACGAGGCGAACCGGGGGAACUGAAACAUCUAAGUACCCCGAGGAAAAGAAAUCAACCGAGAUUCCCCCAGUAGCGGCGAGCGAACGGGGAGCAGCCCAGAGUCUGAAUCAGCUUGUGUGUUAGUGGAACGGUCUGGAAAGUCCGACGGUACAGGGUGAUAGUCCCGUACACCAAAAUGCACAGGUUGUGAACUCGAAGAGUAGGGCGGGACACGUGGUAUCCUGUCUGAAUAUGGGGGGACCAUCCUCCAAGGCUAAAUACUCCUGACUGACCGAUAGUGAACCAGUACCGUGAGGGAAAGGCGAAAAGAACCCCGGCGAGGGGAGUGAAAAAGAACCUGAAACCGUGUACGUACAAGCAGUGGGAGCACCUUCGUGGUGUGACUGCGUACCUUUUGUAUAAUGGGUCAGCGACUUAUAUUCUGUAGCAAGGUUAACCGUAUAGGGGAGCCGCAGGGAAACCGAGUCUUAACUGGGCGUUAAGUUGCAGGGUAUAGACCCGAAACCCGGUGAUCUAGCCAUGGGCAGGUUGAAGGUUGGGUAACACUAACUGGAGGACCGAACCGACUAAUGUUGAAAAAUUAGCGGAUGACUUGUGGCUGGGGGUGAAAGGCCAAUCAAACCGGGAGAUAGCUGGUUCUCCCCGAAAGCUAUUUAGGUAGCGCCUCGUGAAUUCAUCUUCGGGGGUAGAGCACUGUUUCGGCUAGGGGGUCAUCCCGACUUACCAACCCGAUGCAAACUACGAAUACCGAAGAAUGUUAUCACGGGAGACACACGGCGGGUGCUAACGUCCGUCGUGAAGAGGGAAACAACCCAGACCGCCAGCUAAGGUCCCAAAGUCAUGGUUAAGUGGGAAACGAUGUGGGAAGGCACAGACAGCCAGGAUGUUGGCUUAGAAGCAGCCAUCAUUUAAAGAAAGCGUAAUAGCUCACUGGUCGAGUCGGCCUGCGCGGAAGAUGUAACGGGGCUAAACCAUGCACCGAAGCUGCGGCAGCGACACGAUGUGUUGUUGGGUAGGGGAGCGUUCUGUAAGCCUGCGAAGGUGACCUGUGAGGGUUGCUGGAGGUAUCAGAAGUGCGAAUGCUGACAUAAGUAACGAUAAAGCGGGUGAAAAGCCCGCUCGCCGGAAGACCAAGGGUUCCUGUCCAACGUUAAUCGGGGCAGGGUGAGUCGACCCCUAAGGCGAGGCCGAAAGGCGUAGUCGAUGGGAAACAGGUUAAUAUUCCUGUACUUGGUGUUACUGCGAAGGGGGGACGGAGAAGGCUAUGUUAGCCGGGCGACGGUUGUCCCGGUUUAAGCAUGUAGGCUGGUUAUCCAGGCAAAUCCGGAUAAUCAAGGCUGAGGUGUGAUGACGAGGCACUACGGUGCUGAAGUAACAAAUGCCCUGCUUCCAGGAAAAGCCUCUAAGCAUCAGGUAACAUCAAAUCGUACCCCAAACCGACACAGGUGGUCAGGUAGAGAAUACCAAGGCGCUUGAGAGAACUCGGGUGAAGGAACUAGGCAAAAUGGUGCCGUAACUUCGGGAGAAGGCACGCUGGUGUGUAGGUGAAGCCCCUGCGGGUGGAGCUGAGACCAGUCGAAGAUACCAGCUGGCUGCAACUGUUUAUUAAAAACACAGCACUGUGCAAACACGAAAGUGGACGUAUACGGUGUGACGCCUGCCCGGUGCCGGAAGGUUAAUUGAUGGGGUUAUCCGUAAGGAGAAGCUCUUGAUCGAAGCCCCGGUAAACGGCGGCCGUAACUAUAACGGUCCUAAGGUAGCGAAAUUCCUUGUCGGGUAAGUUCCGACCUGCACGAAUGGCGUAAUGAUGGCCAGGCUGUCUCCACCCGAGACUCAGUGAAAUUGAACUCGCUGUGAAGAUGCAGUGUACCCGCGGCAAGACGGAAAGACCCCGUGAACCUUUACUAUAGCUUGACACUGAACAUUGAGCCUUGAUGUGUAGGAUAGGUGGGAGGCUUUGAAGCGUGGACGCCAGUCUGCGUGGAGCCAACCUUGAAAUACCACCCUUUAAUGUUUGAUGUUCUAACGUUGGCCCCUGACCGGGGUUGCGGACAGUGUCUGGUGGGUAGUUUGACUGGGGCGGUCUCCUCCCAAAGCGUAACGGAGGAGCACGAAGGUUAGCUAAUCCUGGUCGGACAUCAGGAGGUUAGUGCAAUGGCAUAAGCUAGCUUGACUGCGAGCGUGACGGCGCGAGCAGGUGCGAAAGCAGGUCAUAGUGAUCCGGUGGUUCUGAAUGGAAGGGCCAUCGCUCAACGGAUAAAAGGUACUCCGGGGAUAACAGGCUGAUACCGCCCAAGAGUUCAUAUCGACGGCGGUGUUUGGCACCUCGAUGUCGGCUCAUCACAUCCUGGGGCUGAAGUAGGUCCCAAGGGUAUGGCUGUUCGCCAUUUAAAGUGGUACGCGAGCUGGGUUUAGAACGUCGUGAGACAGUUCGGUCCCUAUCUGCCGUGGGCGCUGGAGAAUUGAGGGGGGCUGCUCCUAGUACGAGAGGACCGGAGUGGACGCAUCACUGGUGUUCGGGUUGUCAUGCCAAUGGCACUGCCCGGUAGCUAAAUGCGGAAGAGAUAAGUGCUGAAAGCAUCUAAGCACGAAACUUGCCCCGAGAUGAGUUCUCCCUGAGACUAUAAGUCUCCUGAAGGAACGUUAAAGACGAUGACGUUGAUAGGCCGGGUGUGUAAGCGCAGCGAUGCGUUGAGCUAACCGGUACUAAUGAACCGUGAGGCUUAACCUU